UGUCAUGAAGGAAAUUUUACCAAAAUCAAGAAAAUUAAAUUUUUUGAGGAAUUAACAAAAAAAGAUCAAGAGCUUGUGCACUUAAGAUGUAAAGUAAAUCCUAUUAAAACUAUUUGUAAUCACCAUGAAAAGAUCUUCUUGGAUAGAUUUGAGUCAUUAUAUGUUGGAAGCUUUUGUUGCGAUCCUUUUAACAAACACAAAAUUAAAAUUAAAAAAUCUGUCAGAGUAAUCAGUGCUGCUGUUGCAAAGGAAUUUGAUUUAAUACCUGGUUAUAAGCUUUGUACAGAAUGUCGUAAAAUAUUGCACUUAAGAAAACAAGAACAU